rnacentral:rRNA from 1 species
CAGCAGCCACGGUAAUACGAAGGGGGCUAGCGUUGCUCGGAAUUACUGGGCGUAAAGGGAGCGUAGGCGGACAUUUAAGUCAGGGGUGAAAUCCCAGAGCUCAACUCUGGAACUGCCUUUGAUACUGGGUGUCUUGAGUGUGAUAGAGGUAUGUGGAACUCCGAGUGUAGAGGUGAAAUUCGUAGAUAUUCGGAAGAACACCAGUGGCGAAGGCGACAUACUGGAUCAUUACUGACGCUGAGGCUCGAAAGCGUGGGGAGCAAACAGGAUUAGAUACCCCCGUAUCCCUGUCUCUUAUACA